GACGAACGCUGGCGGCGCGCCUAACACAUGCAAGUCGAACGAGCGGAGGACCUUCGGGUCCAAAGCUAGUGGCGGACGGGUGAGUAACACGUGAGGAACCUGCCUUUCAGAGAGGGAUACCGUUUGGAAACGAACGUUAAUACCUCAUAACGUAUGAUGAUCGCAUGGUCAACAUACCAAAGAUUUACCGCUGAGAGAUGGCCUCGCGUCUGAUUAGAUAGUUGGUGAGGUAACGGCCCACCAAGUCUGCGAUCAGUAGCCGGACUGAGAGGUUGAUCGGCCACAUUGGGACUGAGACACGGCCCAG
rnacentral:rRNA from 1 species